rnacentral:rRNA from 1 species
GACGAACGCUGGCGGCAUGCCUAAUACAUGCAAGUCGAGCGAACAGAUGAAGUGCUUGCACUUCUGACGUUAGCGGCGAACGGGUGAGUAACACGUAAGGAAUCUACCUAUAAGCGGGGGAUAACAUUCGGAAACGGGUGCUAAUACCGCAUAAUAUCUUCUUCCGCAUGGAGGAAGAUUGAAAGACGGCUCUGCUGUCACUUAUAGAUGACCUUGCGGUGCAUUAGUUAGUUGGUGGGGUAACGGCCUACAAAGACGAUGAUGCAUAGCCGACCUGGGAGGGUGAGCGGCCACAUUGGGACUGAGACACGGCCCAAACUCCUACGGGAGGCAGCAGUAGGGAAUCUUCCGCAAUGGGCGAAAGCCUGACGGAGCAAUGCCGCGUGAGUGAAGAAGGCCUUCGGGUCGUAAAGCUCUGUUGUCAGGGAAGAACAAGUGCCAUUCGAAUAGGCUGGCACCUUGACGGUACCUGACCAGAAAGCCACGGCUAACUACGUGCCAGCAGCCGCAGUAA